GGCCAGCAUCAGUUUGGGCGGUCGGAUAAAGGCUUCGGGAAUGUAGCUCCUCUCGGGGAGUGUUAUAGCCCGUUGCGAAAUGCGGCCAGCUUGGACUGAGGUCCGCGCUUCGGCUAGGAUGCUGGCGUAAUGGUUGUAAGCGGCCCGUCUUGAAACACGGACCAAGGAGUCUAACAUCUGUGCGAGUGUUUGGGUGUCAAACCCGUACGCGUAAUGAAAGUGAACGGAGGCGGGAACCUCUCGGGGUGCACCGUCGACCGAUCCUGAUGUCUUCGGAUGGAUUUGAGUAAGAGCAUAGCUGUUGGGACCCGAAAGAUGGUGAACUAUGCCUGAAUAGGGUGAAGCCAGAGGAAACUCUGGUGGAGGCUCGCAGCGGUUCUGACGUGCAAAUCGAUCGUCAAAUUUGGGCAUAGGGGCGAAAGACUAAUCGAACUAUCUAGUAGCUGGUUCCUGCCGAAGUUUCCCUCAGGAUAGCAGUAACGUUUUCAGUUUUAUGAGGUAAAGCGAAUGAUUAGAGGCCUGGGGGUUGAAACAACCUUCACCUAUUCUCAAACUUUAAAUAUGUAAGAAGUCCUUGUUACUUAGUUGAACGUGGACAUUUGAAUGUAUCGUUACUAGUGGGCCAUUUUUGGUAAGCAGAACUGGCGAUGCGGGAUGAACCGAACGCGGAGUUAAGGUGCCGGAAUGCACGCUCAUCAGACACCACAAAAGGUGUUAGUUCAUCUAG
rnacentral:rRNA from 1 species